CUCCGCAUCGGGGCCUCCAUCUCGGUGGGAUCGGGCACUGACACCUUAUUCUGGUUCGAUAGAUGGGCGGGUGAUACCCCUUUCGCGACCCGCUUCCCGGACCUAUUCUCCAUUGUGGUUGACCCUCGGGUCUCGGUUGAGACAACCCUUAUUGACUUAGGGCGUCUCGCGUUCCGACGACCUUUCGGGCCUGCGGAAAUAGCCACAUGGCAUGAGCUCCUUGACGCCAUUGCACUUCACGAACCGAACCUCGACUCUACGCAUGACCGUGUGGCCUGGCGCUUAGAGCCCUCGGGCAGAUUCUCCACGAAGUCCAUGUACCGCGCCAUCGUACCACCCUGCCCCAGCCCCUUUGAGGUGAUAUGGGCGAUCUGUCUGCCUUUGAAGAUCUGAAUCUUCUUGUGGCAAUGGAUCCGCGGACGAAUCGCGUCCGGCGUUGAGGUGCUGAAACGUAAUGGCCCUAGUGACGGUCUCUGCCCUCUGUGUGGGACCGCGGAAGACUCUAACCACAUCUUCUUAUGUGUCUCAGCCCAAUUUCUCUGGAGUUGCAUGCAGGAGAUGUUCGGUGGCAGUUGGUGCCACACCAACUUCCCAGACCUCUUCGUUGCAGUUCAGGCAUCCCCUCGACGUGUCGCCACAUUAGGUGGCUGA
rnacentral:rRNA from 1 species